CCGGACUUUAGCCUUGUGGGGGUGGUACACCCCCGAGGGGUUUAAAGCAAGGCUGUGAUGUCACCGGCGUUGGCUUUUAAGUAGCUCGUUCAGGCGCUUCUCAUCCUUCUUUCUUUUGCGUCCGCUCAUCUUCAUAUCUUGUGACACAUAAACUACAUGUGAUUAAAGUGGUGACACUAAAAACAGGAACUGGUAGUAGGCUGACAUUUACGCAUGCAUAGUCCGUCAUCUGCUGCCAUGUGACAAGCAGUUCUGCAGGUGCACUUUAUGGCCCAUUCUCUACCAUGGUUGUUGCUCCUCCUUGGUCUUUUCAUAGGGUCAGGAACACUGGGAGAAGAUACAGUGGGGAAGAUAUCCUUGGGGAGUUGGCCACUUGGCCCCUGGAGGUCCCAGCAGAGCAAGAGGUAGAAAGUGUUACAUGGAGCUCUUGAGAGCGUGUUGCUGUUUUACAACAAGGAUGAACAGACAAACCAGUUCUGGUUUCUGAGACUCAGGGACCCUACAGUGGAUGACUGAACAUUCCCCACCACAGCUACUCUCUUCAGAUCAGCCCCCUGAGGCUGCAGGACUAUAAGCCUAUAAGCCUGGGUAACUCUGCAUACUUCCUCAAUCAUUAUCACCAGGGAUUUCACCCUGCUUGUCUAUGAGAUGCUGUAGGAGUUGAACAUCUUUGCCAGCUCCCAGAUCAUGAAGGAUGGGACCUGCUUCAUCACCCUGGCCUGCUCCCUGGAACAGGCUGGAGAGAAUGUGCAGAACAGCUGGGAGCCUCCUAGUCAUGGGGCAGUUGUGUCCCAUGGGGGGACCACUCUCAGUGUCCCCUGGAUAUCUGGGGAAAGUGAGAGCUAUCACUGCACUGCCAGGAAUCCCACCAGCCAGAGCUCCAGCUCUGUCCUUACCAGACCCCUUUGCUCAGGAGCAAUUGAAGAAAGGGAGGAGCCAGAUUAGUUGGCAGCAGGAAGUGUCUCUGGGGUGGCAGGAGACAAGGGCUCUGGAGCCACCAUCCCAGGGCCCGCUUCGGUCCACCUUUUCUCUGUUGGCCUCGGUCCUCUGUGCCUGACCUGCUGCAGACUCAGCGAGGCAUUCAGCUCAUUCCUGGGACUCCCUGAGGAAAAGUGCUGCCUCACCCACACUCAACCCUGCACAGCCCACUGAGGAGAGCUUCGAAACCCCUUGCCUGUGUUCUCAGAGAGGACUUACCACCUCCCCUUGCCUAGAGGUGCUCUGAGAGACACUUGAGGCUGUGCUCUUCUGGCAGGCAAGGGGAGGCCUCUCAUGGUGUCCCUGGUCCCAUUUGGCUUAGUCAUAGGUCAUGGCUGGAAACUGUGUUAGUUCAAACAUAUCCUGUCUCUCCUCUUCUCAGUUGCCUUCUGAAACAGCUGUCUUUCCUGACUCCAGAUCUUCAAUCAUUCAUUCUCCACCCACUUGCUGCUGAUUUGCCCCUCCAGCUACAUCCUGAUGGAUAAAUUCAUUGGCCACUUUUAAAUUCUGUUAUCCUUGGCUUCUCCCAGCACUUGACACAUUAACCUGCUCUCCUUUGUCACCUGGGCUGCUCUCUCCUGGGACAUCUUCCCUUGGAUCAGGAUCCUUCUCAAGACUGGUGCCUCAGGCCUUUCUCCACUCCCCUUGUUUUCUUUCUGUUGCCAAAGGCAGAAAUGCCAGUGUCAUUUAGGGCCCCUCCUCUUCCCCACCACAUCCUGCCAUUGCUCACCCUUUCCCUUUAUUCCUUGCCUGGACCACUCCACAAACUCCUAACCACUCCUUCCUUCCUUAAUCUUUUCCUUCCCAAUCAUCUUCCAGAUUGCACUGCCAGAGGUCUAAUUCUAAAUUAAGAAAUGCUUGUGUUACUUUUUAGCUUAAAACUUUAGGACAUGAGAGGGAAUGUGGAAGUGUUGAUUAAACGGUAAUAGUUUCAGACAGACAGGAGGAAUAGGUUUUGAGAUCUAUUGCACAGAAGGCGACCAUGGUCAAUAAUAAUGUAUUAUACAGUUCAAAAUAGCUGAGGGAGUACAUUUCAAAUGUCUCACCGUAAAAAAUGGUAGGUGAGUGAAGAUAUGUUAAUUAAUUUGAUUUAAUCAUGCCACAUUGUAUACAUGAUCAAAAAUCACAUUGUUCACCGUAAAUGCAUGCUGCUGUGAUUUGUCAAUCAAAAAUAGUAAAUAUUUUAAAAACUAAAAAAAAGCCCUAUGAUGUCUGCCCACUAUCUAAGGUAUUUAAACAAUUAUUCAUUCAUUUAAGCCACAGGUAUUUACUGAGUAUCUUUUAUGAACCCUGUGCUGUUCUAACCAUUGUAGAUACAAUGAAGAAGAGGUCCAGAUAAAUUUCUACCCCUCAUGUAAAUCACUGUUACAAUCAUCACAACCUGCACCUGACUAGCUUUUUGGCCAUUUCAUCUUCCAGUCAGCCCUGGGAAAUGACUUUGGGAGAGUUCUGUAUUUUGUUGUACAAAGACAACAUUGAAUGUGUUCUAUUAUGGGCUUUUUGUGUCUGUGCUCUCCACUGAACUGUGAGAAAAACACAUUCUUACUGUUCUCUGCAUCUCUAAUACACAACGAGUAAUAGGUGUCAAAAAAUGUGGGUCUGACAAGUAUUUAAAAAGCAUCUGCGCUGGGUGUUGUGGGACACAUGCAGACAUGAUAAUUGGCUGUAGACGUUCACAGUCUCCCUCUCUCUACGGGGCCUGAUGGACAUUUCAGUUCCGCCCCCACAUUCGGCUACCUGAAGGGGCCUCCAGCCCAGCCAUGCCUCUGACUUGUCUUCCUUCAAAAUCAUUUUCCCUGUUUCUCUGUCUUCCUGUCUUCCUUUUCUCCCAAUUACUAACUUGUGGUCAUUGUUCAUUCAGCCUCCUUUGUACCCCACUCCCUGAGGAAAGAAUUUCUUCCUUUUUUGAUUCUGGGAGUUUUGGGGAUUGAAUAGAUUUCACCUGGACAUGGGGAGAAACCAAGAAGAGAAGUACGAGAUGGCGGCCAUCCUGUGAGACACAGAGUUAAAGAAGUUCGCAUGUGGAGUGCUGCCUGAGGCCAGCAUUUCCUGGUGUGAGAGAAGGACAUUGACACUGAUUAAGGCAUAAACCCUAUUUCAUUUACAAACUGAGUUCAAAAUUAUCAGGAAACUGCUAUGUGUCUUCUGUUUAAAAUAAUCUGUUUAUGUUUUAUUGAAGUGUGUUUUUAAGUGUUCAGAAAGAAAAAGGAGCUUAUUUAUUUAAGAAAAAUUGAAUGGAACAUAAAAACAUUGUUAUUGUCACACAUAUAUAUUAUUAAGUUUUUGUUAAUGUUUAAAUAACUAGAUUCAGCCCAGCUUCAGCUUGAAUGUCAUCUCCUUGGAGCAGCCUUUGGCCACUAUACUUAAGUAGAUCUUUCCUCUCAUUCAUAAUCAAUGUAUGUUUAAAAAAAUAAUCUGGAGUCUGUUAGGCUGAGACGGCCCUAGCAAUCUGGGAUUCUACACAAGCAAACAGAAAACCAACUCAGAAUGACUUAACCAGUCGGAAACCACCAGACUAACUCAGCUCCAGGAUUGUCCCUUCUGGAAGCUAUCCCAUGCGGCUGUCCCUGCCUUAUACAGGAUCUACCUUGGCAGAGGGAAAACAACUCUUGGUCCUUGUCAUGGUAAAUUUUAUGUGUCAACUUGACUGGGCUAAGGGAUGCUCAGAUACCAGAUAAAAUAUUGUUGCUGGGUGUUUUCAGAGGUCAUCAGCAUUGGAAUCAGUAGAUGAAGUAAAGAAGAUUGCCCUCACCAAUGAGGGCAGGCAUCACACAUCUAUCGAGGACCUGAAUAGAACAAAAACGCAGAGAGGAGGGAUAAGGAAGGACUUGUUAAAGAUUACAAAAUUAUAGCUAGAUAGGAGGAAUAAGAGGAAUAAGUUAUAGUGUUCUAUACCACUCUAGGAUGACUACAGUUAACAAUAAUGUACAGUUUUAGAUAACUAGAAGGAGGACAUUGAAUGUUCCCAACACAAAGAAAUGAUAAAUGUUUGAGAUGACAAGUAUGUUAAUUACCCUUAUGUUAUCACUACAAAUUAUAUGGCUCUAAACAUCACUAUGUACUCCAAGAAUAUGUACAAUUAUCAUUUGUCAAUUAAAAAUAUAUACAUACCAUGGAAUACUAUGCAGCUAUAAAAAAGAAUGGGAUCAUGUUUUCUGCGGGAACAUGGAUGGUGCUGGAGGCCAUUAUCCUUAGCAAACUAACACAGGAACAGAAAACCAAAUACUGCAUGUUCUCACUUAUAAGUGGAAGCUAAGUGAUAACUCAUGGACACAAAGAAGGGAACAACAGACACUGGGGCCUACUUGAGGGUGGAGGGUGGGAAGAGGGAGAGGAGCAGAAAAAAUAAUGAUUGAAUAGUAGGCUUAGUAUCCGGGAGAUGAAAUAAUCUACCUGACAAAUCCCCAUGACACGAGUUUACCUACAUAACACAUCUGCGUAUAUACCCCUGAACCUAAAAUAAAAAUUAAAAAAUAAAAUAAAAACAGAAAGGUGAAGGAUGGAAGGAAAUUAGUUUCUUUGCUUGAGUUGAGACAUCCAUCUUCUCCUCCCCUCAG
rnacentral:lncRNA from 1 species